rnacentral:rRNA from 1 species
GAUGAACGCUGGCGGCGUGCCUAAUACAUGCAAGUCGAGCGAACGGACGAGAAGCUUGCUUCUCUGAUGUUAGCGGCGGACGGGUGAGUAACACGUGGAUAACCUACCUAUAAGACUGGGAUAACUUCGGGAAACCGGAGCUAAUACCGGAUAAUAUUUUGAACCGCAUGGUUCAAAAGUGAAAGACGGUCUUGCUGUCACUUAUAGAUGGAUCCGCGCUGCAUUAGCUAGUUGGUAAGGUAACGGCUUACCAAGGCAACGAUGCAUAGCCGACCUGAGAGGGUGUUCGCCACCCCGGAACCUAGGACCCGUUCCCACUCCCUCGGGGAGGCAGCGGUGGGAAUUCUUCCGCAUGGGGCAAAACCCUGCCGGAGCACCCCCGCGUGAGUGUUGAAGGUUUUCGGUUCGUAAACCCUUUUUUUUGGGGAAAAAAAUAUGUUAAGGUACCGGGGCCCUUCUUGCCGGUACCAAACAAAAACGCCCCGGCUACCUCCGU